GCUUCAAUAUAAGAGGUCUAGCCUGCCCAGUGACAAGAUUUAACGGCCGCGGUACCCUAACCGUGCAAAGGUAGCAUAAUCACUUGUUCUUUAAAUGAGGACUAGUAUCAAUGGCAUCACGAGGAUCUUACUGUCUCCCCCCUCCAAUCAGUGAAACUGAUCUCUCCGUGAAGAAGCGGAGAUAUUUACAUAAGACGAGAAGACCCCAUGGAGCUUUAAACCCGAUGACACCCACUUACUUCAUACCCCUAUAUACUUUUGGCUCUGCAUACUCGGUUUUAGGUUGGGGUGACCACGGAGUAUAAAACAACCUCCAUGAAGAAAGAAAAAUAAUCCUCAUCAGAGAAUAACACUUCCAAGAACUAAUAAAUUAAUUUAUAAUGAUCCGAUAUUCGAUCAACGAACCAAGUUACCCUGGGGAUAACAGCGCAAUCCACCUCAAGAGCCCCUAUCGACAGGUGGGUUUACGACCUCGAUGUUGGAUCAGGGUAUCCCAGUGGUGCAGCAGCUACUAAAGGUUCGUUUGUUCAACGAUCAAAACCCUACGUGAUCUGAG
rnacentral:rRNA from 1 species